rnacentral:rRNA from 1 species
UACGUAGGGAGCAAGCGUUGUCCGGAAUCAUUGGGCGUAAAGCGCGUGUAGGCGGCCGUGUAGGUCCGUUGUGAAAACUCGAGGCUCAACCUCGAGACGUCGAUGGAAACCACACGGCUAGAGUCCGGAAGAGGAGAGUGGAAUUCCUGGUGUAGCGGUGAAAUGCGCAGAUAUCAGGAAGAACACCUAUGGCGAAGGCAGCUCUCUGGGACGGUACUGACGCUGAGACGCGAAAGCGUGGGGAGCGAACAGG